rnacentral:lncRNA from 1 species
ACAGAGGUCGUGGGUUGCCCUGCUGACCCGAGGGUCAGGGAGUAGGCCAGCAUCGGGAGGGGAAGCCGGAGCCAGAGCCGGUGACAACAGUGAGCUUUAAAGGAGAUCAUGUUUAUGCUUUUACAAGAGUCUUCUGGUUGCUGGGCAGAUAACAGACUGGGGUUGAGAGGUGCGGGGCAGCCAUCAGAAUGGACUUGAUUGGCGUGGGCUCCGCUGAAGGCAGGAAUUAUUCUUGACUCCCUGGUUUCACUUUCUGUUCUCACAGUGUUGUAGUUAUUCUCCUGGGGAAACCGUAACUAUGUGCUGUGCUUGUUACUUGCAGGCCAGAGCAGUUACUGAAACGAUCAGCUAAGUGAGAGCAAAUAGAGCUGAAGGCUUUUCAGGCUUCUGUUUUCUCCACGUUGAGGAACAGUUGUAAAUAUAAGACACAAAAA